GUGUUCCUUCUCCUAGCACUCAGAUUUUACCUGCUGUUUCGCAUCACUGUAUUGCCAGGAGUGAGAAACAAAAACUCACUGGUGGCACAGGGACAGCAUCAAAACCACUUUUGAAAUGUGUUUCAUAACUCAAUACGAAAUUUUGUUUCACAUAAAACAUUUCUGGAAUUAUGGACUUCAAAGUAAAAAUGUGAGUUUGCAAAUAUGAAACUCAUGUUUAAUUGCCUUCAGUCAUAUAUACACGUGUACCUGUAUACUAUUUAAUAUGCAAACAUGUAUCAUGUAAAAGUGUUAUGUUACGUGGGUAAUUCUUUUAUGAUUGUGAAUUUUUCAUUUUGAUAGAAUUCAAAUUAACAUACUUGAUUGUAUAAUAUGUAUAGAUAUUAUCCCUAAGAUGAUCAAGUACUGAUUUUUUUUCCCCAAAAACAUUGAAAAGAAUUAAAGUUAACAGUUUUGCAAAUAUGUUUAUCAGGUCUCAAGUUAUUUUUAGUAUGUAUUUUUCUGCUAAAAUUUGGGCAAUAGGUGGCUCUCAUUUUUCAGUAAAAAAAACUAUACAAAGUUUAUUUAAUCUUAUAAAUGUCCCUGUGCUAUAAUGGUAGCUGGUAAGCUUUGUUUUCCAGAAAGCAUCAUGCUUUAGCCAGGUAAAAAUAUACAGAUGUUUGGAAGGAUCUAUAAGGAAAAAUGCCAGUCAUGGGAAAUUCAGCCCCUGUGGUAGUAUAAGCCAGGGGAAAUAUUUCCAGUAUGUUUACACGAAGAGGUUUUGGCAUUCUCAAAUGGUAAUUUCCUAUUCUUCUUUCCCCUAGGAUAUCCUAAAAAUAUCCCCCAUGAGGGAUUAUUUACUAUUAACAUAAAUUGCUUUCAGCUGUGAAUAUUAAAUGACAAAUAAUGAGCAGCAGCGAUGGCAUGCAAUGUCUCUUACUAGUUAACCAGAAUACAAGUUUGGUCUGGUGUCUAACACAGUUUGCAUCGCAAUGGGCUCAGCGGCCCAGAGACCCGUCCUGCCGUCACGUUCCCACUUCCCAGAUGUCUAGUUCAAGUGGACCCGGCGGAGCUGCGCAUCCUGGGAGCGAACGGUCGAGGCCCCCGAUGCCUGCUGCGCGCGUUCCCUGCGCUCUUCUUCCAGAAUCCGGACGGAGCCACCGAGGGCCGCAGGGCAGGUGACGGGGGGACUCCCAGGGGGGCGCCUGCUGCUGUCCGAGGCAAGUCCCCACCUGCCUCAGGUGCCCCGGCCCCUCCCGGCCGCGCUGGACCGCGGGGCCCCGAGGCUCCCGGGCUGCGGCCAGGCCCCGCCCCGCCCCCUGCCCUCCCCGCAGCAGUGCGGGGCUCACCUCGCCGCGUGCCUCUGCUUUCCCUCGAGCACCCCGGCAGGUGGCCGAUCUGCUGGAAGCCGGACGUACCCAGCCUGCGGCGGGGCGGAGGCGGCUGCGCCCGAGCCCGAGCCCGAGCCCC
rnacentral:lncRNA from 1 species